GAUGAACGCUAGCGGCAGGCCUAAUACAUGCAAGUCGAGGGAGAAUGUUGGAUUCGUCUGACAUGAAACCGGCGCACGGGUGCGUAACACGUAUGCAACCUACCUUUAACUGGGGUAUAGCUCAGAGAAAUCUGAAUUAAUCCCCCAUAAGACUACGACAUGGCAUCAUGAUGUAGUUAAAGCUCCGGCGGUUAAGGAUGGGCAUGCGGUACAUUAGCUAGUUGGUGAGGUAAUGGCUCACCAAGGCUACGAUGUAUAGGGGGUCUGAGAGGAUGAUCCCCCACACUGAUACUGAGACACGGACCAGACUCCUACGGAGGCAGCAGUAGGGAAUAUUGGUCAAUGGACGCAAGUCUGAACCAGCCAUGCCGCGUGAAGGAUGAAGGCCCUAUGGGUCGUAAACUUCUUUUAUUAGGGAAGAAAAAACGGGAUGCGUCCUGUACUGACGGUACUUAAUGAAUAAGGAUCGGCUAACUUCGUGCCAGCAGCCGCGGUAA
rnacentral:rRNA from 1 species